UACGUAGGUGGCGAGCGUUGUCCGGAAUUACUGGGUGUAAAGCGCGUGUAGGCGGCAGGCCAAGUCGGUGGUGAAAGCGCCCGGCUCAACUGGGCGAGGUCCAUGGAAACUGGUCAGCUGGAGGACGGUAGAGGCGAGUGGAAUUCCCGGUGUAGUGGUGAAAUGCGUAGAGAUCGGGAGGACCACCUGUGGCGAAGGCGGCUCGCUGGGCCGGUCCUGACGCUGAAACGCGAAGGCGUGGGGAGCGAACGGG
rnacentral:rRNA from 1 species